AACGAACGCUGGCGGCGUGGAUAAGACAUGCAAGUCGAACGGGAGUUUGUUGUAGGCAAUAUGAGUGAACUCUAGUGGCGAAAGGGUGCGUAACACGUAGCUACCUACCUCGAAGUUGGGAUAGCUCGGCGAAAGCCGGAUUAAUACCGAAUGUGACCGUAAGGUCAAAGCUGGGGAUCGUAAGACCUGGCGCUUUGAGAUGGGGCUGCGGCCUAUCAGGUAGUU
rnacentral:rRNA from 1 species